rnacentral:misc_RNA from 1 species
ACCUCUCGUACCGUCCUUCCAACGGCUCUUCCUUGACGAUAUCGUAGUUAUACCUGCAAUCAGAAAAGAAAACUGAGUUUUAUUUCACUUUCAUAUUCUCGUUAUCGUGCGUCAUUUUCUCGGAAAACAAACAGACGCGUCGGUCAAGCUAAAUUGAAUGCUAAUUGGAAAUGUGCAUGCAUGAGUGUUGAUGAAUUUCAAAUUUUAUUUUACAUACUUGUCUGCAAAUUGUUUUUUGAGAUUCUUCUCGGCUACUGCGAAGAAUUCAUCGAGCUCAAACUCCGUCGGCAUCUUCUCAGCCGUUGAUCUACGGCGAGAAUUCGCCUCCGAUGAUGGUCUCUCCGUCGAAUCCAGUUCGCCUGAUGAUACUGGUUGAAGUUGGCUUGACGGCGUGGUUUCUUUCCUGUGCGUAGACAACACAAAAAAUUAAGACCAGUAGGCGUAUAUAAAUAGUUGAAAUAUUAGUAAAGGAGUGAGACACAGAGAGAGAAUUUUUAAAAGCGGAAGAAUUAAAUGGAUCGCUUAUAGUUUGAAUUUCGAAAUUGAAGAGACGAGCGACAUAACACUGAGUUAAAAAUAAAGAAAACAUUAAACCUUUCUCUACAGCUAUAAUACACUGACGUCUCAACUUCAACGCUCUCCGCCUGAAAAAAGAGGGUAAAAAAAAAUUCAGGGAACCAAAUAGUAAUUGAAAUGAGCGGAAGCAAUUGAAGCGGAACAAACCGAAAAUUCAUGUGGAAUUCAUAAAGGCACAAUUGAAUUGAAUUGAGUUAUAUAUAUAAUCCGAAUACUUCAAAUUUCACCUCCAGAUCUGCGAAUUUAUUAUUAUUUCUCUGACCACUUGAUCCAUAACUCGAGCAACAAGAAGCUGAGGCGUGAUCUGAGCUAGGGCUGGAGCAUCUGUCCCGAAUUACAGUCCGUUGAUCGGUAUUUAUUUCCGGUGAAACUGAAACUGAAUUCUCAGGCGUAAUUAAGACUCGUCUUCUGGAGGUACUCCUUGGUCCAAUAUAUGAUGUGGACAUCAUCAGUUCUCGAUUAUUCACUUUCCUUUUCCUUGCAGUGCCAGUAGUGGCAGCAGCAGCCGCCGCCGCCAAGGCCAAUGCACGAGCUCUGGUUCGCACCCCAACUUGGGCCAUUUCCAUAAUAGAAAUGAUCUCUGCAAUUCCUCUUCACCUUCUCUCUCUUUCUCCUUGUCUUGUAUGUGCGAUGAUGAUGAUGAUUACUAUGAUGAUGAGGAGAGUGAGUUUUAAUGGUGAGGAUUUGGUUUUGGAUGGGCUUUGUAAGAGAGGAGGGAGAGGUUGAUGAGGAC